GAUGAACGCUGGCGGCGUGCUUAACACAUGCAAGUCGAACGAUGAAGCCCAGCUUGCUGGGUGGAUUAGUGGCGAACGGGUGAGUAACACGUGAGUAACCUGCCCUUAACUCUGGGAUAAGCCGGGGAAACUGGGUCUAAUACCGGAUAGGAGCGUCCACCGCAUGGUGGGUGUUGGAAAGAUUUAUCGGUUUUGGAUGGACUCGCGGCCUAUCAGCUUGUUGGUGAGGUAAUGGCUCACCAAGGCGACGACGGGUAGCCGGCCUGAGAGGGUGACCGGCCACACUGGGACUGAGACACGGCCCAGACUCCUACGGGAGGCAGCAGUGGGGAAUAUUGCACAAUGGGCGCAAGCCUGAUGCAGCGACGCCGCGUGAGGGAUGACGGCCUUCGGGUUGUAAACCUCUUUCAGUAGGGAAGAAGCGAAAGUGACGGUACCUGCAGAAGAAGCACCGGCUAACUACGUG
rnacentral:rRNA from 1 species